rnacentral:rRNA from 1 species
CGGGUGAGUAAUACAUCGGAACGUGUCUUCUAGUGGGGGAUAACUGCCCGAAAGGACAGCUAAUACCGCAUGAGACCUGAGGGUGAAAGCGGGGGAUCGCAAGACCUCGCGCUGGAAGAGCGGCCGAUGUCCGAUUAGCUAGUUGGUGAGGUAAAGGCUCACCAAGGCGACGAUCGGUAGCUGGUCUGAGAGGACGACCAGCCACACUGGGACUGAGACACGGCCCAG